UUCAGAAGGUGAUUUAGAGGUGGAGAUACAGGGUUUCCUAAAAUCCUCUUUCCAUGUUAUUAAAGGUCACCUCAUACAAACCGUCUCUGCUUUCUCACCCUCAUACCGCCGAGGUCUCUCUGACCUUGUGUCAGCCAGCCUUGUGUUCCGGCUCAGAAACAUGCUGAUAAUCCGUCCUGUAUCAUGAAGGUUCCUCACAGAGAAGCUGCACUGUGCUGUAAGAAGUCUCGGAUGAGUCCUGAUCUAUCACAGAGCUUCCUGUCAGUGUUGGAGGGUAGAGGCAGAGAAGCAUGGCUUGGCUGUAAAGACUAAAGAAUCCCUGCAGUAUCUCAGCUCCCCUCUGCUGUCCGAGCCCAGAGACAGCUCAAUCCCUGGCAUCCGGACUCUGUACCUGGCUUUAUAAGGCCUUGAGCAAUGCCAGAAUCGGGCUAUUCCUGGAGACGGUCCUCAGCGCUCUGUACCCAGAGAGCUUUGUUUGGACUGACGCAGAGGAGGAGAUGUAUGGCCACCACUGCCACACAGACACCCCCCACUCCCUGCCCCCUCUGUACCCUCCAUUCCCCAUGUCACCUAUUAAAUCUCUAGUAUCUACACAGUCCAGUGCAGGGGGUGGGAAGAGGACACGCUUUUAAUUUUUAUUUCUUUCCCUGUGCGGCUUGGACAAAGCGGGUGUACAGGAUGAACAGAACAGUGCGUUCUCCCGCUCUGGGUUGGAUGGUAGCUGUAAAUAAUUGUGAUGCUUUGUUUAAACCUGCCUGUUGUAGCACAUGGGCACAGUUUACUAAAUCUGCUGAGAUAUAUAGUCACGAGAGUCGACAAUGUUUUCUGCUGCAAGAAGAAAGUGUGCUCUCUGCGGUUUAUAGUAAAUAAAUAAUGUGUGACAAGCACAGAAAGGCCUGCAACAUUU